GUCAGAACUGAUUAAGACAAGGAUGAUAAUGAGGUAGGGGAUAAUGACAUACAUGAUAAUGUUGUUUGUGAUAGUGACAGGAUGAUAGUUUUGAAUGUGAUAAUGACCGGUAUGAUAAAGGUGGUAGUAAUAGUGACAGAUAUGAUUUUGUUGGAUGUAAUAAUUACAGGUAUGAUAAUGUUGGAUGUAAUAAUUACAGGUAUGAUAGGGUUGGAUGUAAUAAUUACAGGUAUGAUAAUGUUGGAUGUGGUUAUGACAGGUAUGAAAAUGGUGGAUGUAAUAAUAACAGGUAUGAUAAUGUUGGAUGUAAUAAUAACAGGUAUGAUUAUGUUGGAUGUGGUUAUGACAGGUAUGAAAAUGUUGGAUGUAGUAAUGACAGGUAUGGUAACGUUGGAUGUGGUUAUGGCAGGUAUAAACAAAUGUUCGAUGUAAUAAUAACAGGUAUGAUGAUGUUUGAUGUAAUAAUGGCAGGUAUGAUAAUGUUGGAUGUGGUAAUAACAGGUAUGAUAAUGUUGGAUGUGGUUAUGAAAGGUAUGAAGAUGUUGGAUGUAGUAAUGACAGGUAUGGUAAUGUUGGAUGAGGUAAUUACAGAUAUGAUCAUUUUGGAUGUAAUAAUUACAGGUAUGAUGAUUUUGGAUGUAAUGAUUACAGAUAUAAUAAUGUUAGAUGUAAUAAUAACAGGUAUGAUAAAGUUAGAUGCAAUAAUUACAGGUAUAAUAAUUUUGGAUGUAGUAAUGACAGGAAUGAUAAUACUGGAUGUGGUAAUAACAGGUAUGAUAAUGUUGGAUGUAGUAAUAACAGGCAUGAUGAUGUUGGAUGUGGUAAUGACAGGUAUGAUAAUGUUGGAUGUAAUAAUCACAGGUAUGAUAAUGUUGGAUGUAGUUAUGACAGAUAUGAUAAUGUUGGAUGUAAUAUCUACAGGUAUGAUAAAGUUGGAUGUAAUAAUAGCAGGUGUGAUAAUGUUGGAUGUAAUAAUGACAGGUGUGAUAAUGCUAGAUGCUGCAAUUACUGCAUUUACUUCAUUUCAUCUUAACAAACUUUCUCUAACCAAGAACACCUUAAUCCUUUCUAAUUUGUAUACACAAC